rnacentral:rRNA from 1 species
AUGUCUUUUUUGGCUCUCUCUUUAGCCCUAUGUCUCUUAUCCCUAGGAGGCCUUCCUCCACUAGCAGGUUUCUUCGGAAAACUCUAUCUAUUCUGGUGUGGAUGGCAAGCAGGCCUAUAUUUAUUGGUUUCAAUAGGACUCCUUACGAGCGUUCUUUCUAUCUACUAUUACCUAAAAAUAAUCAAGUUAUUAAUGACUGGACGAAACCAAGAAAUAACCCCUUAUGUGCGAAAUUAUAGAAGAUCCCCUUUAAGAUCAAACAAUUCCAUCGAAUUGAGUAUGACUGUAUGUGUGAUAGCAUCUACUAUACCAGGAAUAUCAAUGAACCACAUUCUUGCAAUUGCUCAGGAUACCCUCUUUUAG